GAGACAGAAGAGAGUUUAUCUGGUUGGAGACAGAUGAGGACACAAAAAUCAUGCUCAAUAGGAUUAAGCUGAGGCCU
ensembl:snoRNA SNORD115 Small nucleolar RNA SNORD115